AAUGAGCAGAUGACCUGAAUCAGGUGUGUUUGAUUAAGGAGACAUGCAAAACGUGCAGUGUUGGGGUGCCUCCAGGACCAGGUUUUGGAACCACUGGUCUAGUAGAUGAAGUGUUUUCACAGUGAGAGAUUGCUGCUGUAGUUGGUCUGUGGUCUUACAUUGACAAUAUGGGGGAUGUAAGUGAACUUCGAGGGAAAAAAAGCAGCAGCAGACAGAACAUCUUGUCCAACUUUGAAAUGCUUGCUACCGGAGCUCUUCCCUGUGCUGUUCUUUGUUCAAGUGUAUGGUCAGUCAAAACCGUAGGUCCAAAACACCAAAUUUGGCAGAAUGGUCCCAAAUGGUCAUAUCUCCGCAACCAUUCAGAUGGUUCCUUCAGCAGUGGGCAGGACUAACUCACAAGCCGUAAUCCCAUUGGUUGAGAUGUGAUUAAUAACCGGACACCUGUCAGAGAUUGGCGUAACAAACAAGAAGUUGCACGAGCAUGUGAGAACAGAGAAAAGUCAUCUUUGAAUGCGGGUAUUUCUGGUUCAGAGCUGCUGGGGGUCAUGAGGAGGUCGCAGGGGAGCAACCGCUGAACCCUCAUUCAUCUUUGACCUUUUUCUGGAUGCAGUGAAGUGCACUGUUUUCUGUUGUAAUGCACCUUCUCUUGGACCCAUGUGGUUAUACCAGCUCGGACCCAUUCUGUGGGUAAAUGCUUUGAUGGGCCAUUUGUUUAAACAAAUGCCUUCCAUUAGAGAAUGAAUGCAGUUUGUGUAUAUAUAAGGUGUGUGCACAAUAAAAUGAUACAUGUGC